CUACUUUCCUGACAGGGGAGACACCUUGAUCAUUAAGGUAGUUUUCUCAGCGAGGCUUGUCCACUGCACCCGGGAUGUGCUGACCCCUGCCAUUUCCCCAGAUGUGGGAAACUUCACUAUAAUUUGUUGGAGUGAGAGGAGUAUUUGUACUCACCACUUC